AGCGAACGCUGGCGGCAGGCUUAACACAUGCAAGUCGAGCGGGCCUUUCGGGGUCAGCGGCGGACGGGUGAGUAACGCGUGGGAACGUGCCCUCUGGUUCGGAAUAACUCAGGGAAACUUGAGCUAAUACCGGAUACGCCCUUUUGGGGAAAGGCUUGCUGCCGGAGGAUCGGCCCGCGUCUGAUUAGCUAGUUGGUGAGGUAACGGCUCACCAAGGCGACGAUCAGUAGCUGGUCUGAGAGGAUGAUCAGCCACACUGGGACUGAGACACGGCCCAGACUCCUACGGGAGGCAGCAGUGGGGAAUAUUGGACAAUAGGCGCAAGCCUGAUCCAGCCAUGCCGCGUGAGUGAUGAAGGCCUUAGGGUUGUAAAGCUCUUUUAUCCGGGACGAUACUGACGGUACCGGAGGAAUAAGCCCCGGCUAACUUCGUG
rnacentral:rRNA from 1 species